UACGGAGGGUGCGAGCGUUGUCCGGAAUCAUUGGGCGUAAAGGGCGCGUAGGUGGCGGGACAAGCGUGCGGUGAAAGCCUGGGGCUCAACCCCGGGUCGGCCGUGCGAACUGUUUUGCUUGAGCACUGUAGAGGCAGGCGGAAUUCCGGGUGUAGCGGUGGAAUGCGUAGAGAUCCGGAAGAACACCGGUGGCGAAGGCGGCCUGCUGGGCCGGUUCUGACGCUGAGGCGCGAAAGCGUGGGGAGCAAACAGG
rnacentral:rRNA from 1 species